UACGUAGGGGGCGAGCGUUGUCCGGAUUUAUUGGGCGUAAAGCGCGUGUAGGCGGCUUGGCAAGUCCGCUGUGAAAACUCGAGGCUCAACCUCGAGAUGUCGGUGGAAACUGCCUGGCUAGAGUCCGGAAGAGGAGUGUGGAAUUCCUGGUGUAGCGGUGAAAUGCGCAGAUAUCAGGAAGAACACCUAUGGCGAAGGCAGCACUCUGGGACGGUACUGACGCUGAGACGCGAAAGCGUGGGGAGCGAACAGG
rnacentral:rRNA from 1 species